CAAAACUGAGACUACAGGUCAUUAAACUGAUAACUUCCUUUUAAUAUAAUUACUAGAGAGAAUUCUUUACAUAUAAUCUAUGAUUUUACAACAUAGUGUCCGACAGUUUCUUAUCAAAUACCUUGGGAGUAAGGAGUGUCCAAGCAAUUCCACUUCAGUCAGUAUCACAGAUGCUGCCUCUCGGAUGCAAGACUGUAUAGUCCAGUGGAGUGUGGUUAGCAUUAAAAUCUUCCCAAAAAUUUCUCAAUGGAGAGAGAGAGAGAGAGCAGAUGAUGGAUUUUAGGUGGCGAAGUUGGAUAAUGCAGAAGAAGAUAAAGGAUGUAGCUUGCGAGGUCUGUAAUCAAAGACUUCUGGCUGAAACACCAUACACUUUUUCUUCCCUUUUUUCGUCUUACUUUUUUGCCUCCUCAAAUAAUUCUCAUAUGUGUAUUUAUAUUGGCUCUAGUGACUUGACCUUCCACCUCCAUCGGCAAAAAAUGAGAUCGAUAUUUAGGACGUUUAUCCUAACCCAACACCUGUGUUUACAAUUAUGACUUGAUUUAAUUGAAUUGGG
rnacentral:lncRNA from 1 species